rnacentral:rRNA from 1 species
UCCUACGGGAGGCAGCAGUGAGGAAUAUUGGUCAAUGGCCGCAGGGCUGAACCAGCCAAGUCGCGUGAGGGAUGACGGUCCUAUGGAUUGUAAACCUCUUUUGUCAGGGAGCAAAGGGCGCCACGUGUGGCGUUUUGCGAGUACCUGAAGAAAAAGCAUCGGCUAACUCCGUGCCAGCAGCCGCGGUAAUACGGAGGAUGCGAGCGUUAUCCGGAUUUAUUGGGUUUAAAGGGUGCGCAGGCGGAAUGUCAAGUCAGCGGUAAACUUUCGGGCCUCAACCCCUUCGUGCCGUUGAAACCGUCGUU